CUCCCCGGCUUGGCCCCGGGUCUUUUUCUGAGACGCGCCGAGCCUGCGCCCCCAGUUAAGCCUUCGUCGCUUUCCGCUGAACUCCAGGGAAAAGAUGGAAACUAUCUGUCCUGGCUGUGAUGAAAUGCGUCAGUGCGUAAGCAGAUACGGUCUCAGUAAUUGAUGAUCUUGAGGGAACAAAAGAACGCAGAAACAAACGACUGUAAUCAGACAAGAGAAGUAACAACAGCAAAAAUAAUGUACCAGCUGUAAAGACUCCCGCUUCUGUUUCAAUGGUGACGAUUAGCCUGAAGCCGCAACCACCAGACCUACUGGAAUGUAAGGGGUGAAGAUGACCUUUUCUGACCCUCCUGACUUCAAUCAAAUAACCCCUGGACUCUGGGGGAGACACUGCUUUGGAGAAGAUCGCCAGUGCUCCCCUUACUUGCAGCCAGUAAUAAAUCCUUCCUUUCCGGG